rnacentral:tRNA from 1 species
CGGGCUAUAGCGCAGUUGGCUAGCGCGCAGGGCUGGGGGUCCUGAGGUCGCGGGUUCGAGUCCCGCUAGCCCGA